rnacentral:rRNA from 1 species
GCUUACGGCCACCGCCUGGUUCACGCCCGAUCUCGUUUGAUCUCGGAAGCUAAGAUAGGGUGGGCCUGGUUAGUACUUGGAUGGGAGACCCCUGGGCAUACCAGGUGUUGUAAGAU